ACACUUUGCAAAUCGUAAAAGACAAUAUUGUCCAGUCAUUAAUUAAAACAAGGACUUGCUACAUUUCAGGUAUGCAAAAUGUUUCACGGACAGAUGGAAGAUAUACUCACCAGAAUGAAAAGGGAAUGUCAAGGAAAUGAUGAAAACUGCUGUGAUCCAUGAUCUUCCCUCAGCAUGAAGUUCUGGACAAGUUCAUCUCAGCUGAUGCAUUUAGCAAUCCGGGUCAUCAGAAACAUGGUUUUUAUUAUCAUUUGGUGAAGCUUUCUCUAUUUCUGUUGAAGAGUUGCUAUUCAACCUGGGAUUCUUACCUCUUGACUCUACAGAACCAGCACAUAUUGUCGGAUAAAAGAGGUUUCUGCAAACAACACACAGGUGAAGAAUUAAAAAUAAGAAGAAAAUGGAGACAGUAGCAUACACUUUGUUGGGAAUUUCCUACAUUUCUUCGUAGCAGAAGCCUAUGUGAAUUGUGUGCUGAUACGAAC